rfam:Capsicum annuum cultivar Zunla-1 chromosome 3, whole genome shotgun sequence
UAAUGAUGAUAUGGGUAGUCCUAAAGAAGAGACUUGAAUCUCUCCUAAGCAUGGUAUAAGUUAUCAUUCGUCUUCUGCUUGAAACUAGAAAUCUCACUGCACAGUCU